rnacentral:rRNA from 1 species
GUAACGCGUGAGUAACCUGCCUUUCANAGGGGGAUAACGUUCUGAAAAGAACGCUAAUACCGCAUGAGACUACAGAGCUGCAUGGCUCAGUGGUCAAAGGAGCAAUCCGCUGAAAGAUGGACUCGCGUCCGAUUAGAUAGUAGGCGGGGUAACGGCCCACCUAGUCGACGAUCGGUAGCCGGACUGAGAGGUUGAACGGCCACAUUGGGACUGAGACACGGCCCAGACUCCUACGGGAGGCAGCAUG